GCGGCCGUGACCCUGCUGGAGUGCGGGGGGGACCUCCAGCCCCCCGGGGGGUCCCUGACUCUGCUCUGCCACGCCUCCGGGUUCGAUUUUGGGAGUUCCUACAUGGGCUGGGUUCGGCAGAGCUUCGGGAAGGCGCUGGAAUUUGUCGCAGAGAUCAGCUACGGUGGUGGCAACACCUGGUACGCGCCAUCGGUCAAGGGCCGGUUCUCGAUCUCCAGGGACAACGGGCAGAGCUCGGUGACGCUGACCAUGAACAACCUCAAGGACGAGGAUUCCGGCGUUUAUUUCUGUGCCAAGGCUGCUGGUGGUUAUGCUGAUUGGGCUGGUGCUUAUGGGAUCGCCACCAACACUGGCAGCACCUACUACGCGCCGUCAGUCAAGGGCCGGUUCACGAUCUCCAAGGACAACGGGCAGAGCUCGAUCGAGAACCGACCCUGCACCGAGAGCCCGAACCAGGUGGUGCUACCAGCGCUGCUGAUCGCCGCGACCAAUUCCAGCGCCUUCCCAGAGCUCUGCUGGAUCCAGUACAUCCCAUAA